GCUCCUCUCCUCCUCCCCUUGUGUUCUGGUCUGCUGUUCCAGUCGGUGUCCUGGUUCUCCUGGUUCUCCUGGUUCUCCUGGUUCUCCUGGUUCUCCUGGUGAUACGAUGCAUCCGUAGGAAACCUAAAGCUGCUCAAGCUGAAGCUGGAGAUGAUGACGUCACAUAUAGUGAUGUCCCCAUAUCACGUAACCUGCAGCAGCCAAUCAGACGGAGCAGAGUGAGUGAUUCUGCUGCAAUCUACUCCGGAGUGAGAACAGAAGACGUCUGUUAUGGACAAAUAGUGAUCAAAGACAAGAAAUCAAACAGGAAGAGAGAGAGUGAUCCUGCUGCAAUCUACUCCGGAGUGAGAACAACAGAUGUUUGUUAUGGACAAAUAGUGAUCAAAGACAAGAAAUCAAACAGGAAGAGAGAGCCUCCAGCAGAUCCAGAGGUCCUCUACUCCUCACUGAGGAAGACCUGAACACCAUCACACCAGUCCAACCAGUGGAGUCCAGCCGGCCAAUCACUGGUCCCCAGAGACCCUCACAUCUACAUCUGUACGUGUACAGCAGUCUGAUCAUCCAACCAACCGGCUUAGAAGUCCCAAGGUCGAGGUACAAACUGUGGGGGUGGGGGGGUCACUCUUUUGCUGUUGCCCCGAGACUUUGGAACAAGUCACCACCUGACAUUCACACCAUUACAGACAUCGCUCUUUUGAAAUCCAAAAUUAAAACUUCUUUAUUUAGAAUGGCUUUUAAUGCACAGUAGCGUUGCAGCAUUAUCUCUUUAUUUCUCCUGUUUUUAUGCAACAAUUUCAGAUUUUACUGUAUUCUAUGUUUUACUCUUUUUAUUGUAUGGUAUGUUGUUUUAUUCUUAGU